rnacentral:lncRNA from 1 species
AACACUUAAUCAAAAUAAUUCAGAAUACCUUUAUCGAUUCCUUCAAAAAUUCCAAAUCUCUCAAUUUAUAUUUGAUUUGAUUUCUUUUCUUUCAAAAAAAAAAAAAAAAAUUCACUUAUUUAUCUCACACGCGUCUCUUGUUUAUCUCAUACGCGAUCAAGUGCAAGCCAAACACCCCUCCUUCCCCUCCAUCAUCGCAGCUUGGUCUUUUCCAUCGCGAUGAGAUUAAGUUGUACUCGUGGCGUUUCUGUUCUCCGCAGCUGAGCAUUGUUUACGGGGGAGGUGGUAAGAGGCCACGAAUCGUGCUCUCUGCCAGCUAGUGAGAAUAUAUUUAUUCGUAUGUUAAAAUGUCGGCAAGCGGUCAAGAGUGUACUCUCUUUAGGCCAACAGGCGGUUCUACGCUGAAUUGCAGAUACGGUGUAGUUUGAUGGUAGUCGCGAAACCGAUUCGACGCCGAUAACAAUUUACAUUCGCCGAUACCGAACUGGGACACGAUGCAGGUGCAACAGCAAAGGAGAAGAAGCAAUGGGCCCCGGGAUUGAGUGAAGCGAUGCAUUUAUCGAGGCCUGUACUUUGAGGCACGUUUACCUCGGCCGGAGAUAUAGGUUGCCUUUUAGAUUUAGCUCUUGCCGACCUCUUUCCUCCUGUGGCCAUUUUUACGGAAACGAAAUUCACAGAGUGGGCAGAGCCGAUUCCAGUCUCAGAAGUUCAUCCACCGUGUAGCCGAGGUGCUAUUGUUCCAGAGCCAGCCGACGGAGACCAGACGAUGAGUGGAGGAGGAAGAGGUGGAGGAAGAAGCUAGCAAACGAGGUGGAGGAGGAUGCUAUCGAGAAAGAGGUGUAUCUAUAUAAAUAUUGAUCGAAACAAAUAUACGAAAAAAAGUGAAAAAAGUUUGC